rnacentral:rRNA from 1 species
UACGUAGGGUGCGAGCGUUGUCCGGAAUUAUUGGGCGUAAAGAGCUUGUAGGCGGUCUGUCGCGUCUGCUGUGAAAAUCCGGGGCUCAACCCCGGACUUGCAGUGGGUACGGGCAGACUAGAGGUAUGCAGGGGAGAACGGAAUUCCUGGUGUAGCGGUGGAAUGCGCAGAUAUCAGGAGGAACACCGGUGGCGAAGGCGGGUCUCUGGGCCGUAACUGGACGCUGGAGGAGCGAAAGCGUGGGGAGCGAACAGG